CUCCGAAUGAUCAAGGGUUCCGGGGCUAGGUUAAUCCGCCCCGGGUUAGUCGGGACCUAAGGCGAGGCCGACAGGCGUAGUCGAUGGAUAACGGGUUGAUAUUCCCGUACCGAUAGUGUGAGGACCCAUACCGAGGCGUGUGAUGCUAACCACCCGAGCUGCUGCUUCCUUCCCUUUGGGUUGGUUGUUGGUGGUGAGGCUGGGAACCAAGUGCGUAGUAGGUCAGCGUGUGGGAUGACGCAGUGAGGUAGCUUCCGCGGGGUAAUGGUUGUCCCCGUUCAAGCGAGCAGCCCGAGUGCGAGUAAUGUUGUGCUCUUGUGGGUGAGUCGUGAUGAGGACCCUUUAUUGGGGUAGGUGGGUGAUCCUGGACUGCCGAGAAAAGUUCCGGCGUGACGAGCACUAUUGCCCGUACCCUAAACCGACUCAGGUGAUCAGGUAGAGAAUACUAAGGAGUUCGAGAGAAUCGUGGUUAAGGAACUCGGCAAAAUGCCCCCGUAACUUCGGGAGAAGGGGGGCCUGAGGUGUGAGAGCACUGAUGGCCGCAGAGACCAGGGAGAAGCGACUGUUUACUAAAAACACAGGUCCGUGCGAAGACGUAAGUCGCUGUAUACGGACUGACGCCUGCCCGGUGCUGGAAGGUUAAGAGGACUGGUUAGCCCCUUGUGGGCGAAGCUGAGAAUUUAAGCCCCAGUAAACGGCGGUGGUAACUAUAACCAUCCUAAGGUAGCGAAAUUCCUUGUCGGGUAAGUUCCGACCUGCACGAAUGGCGUAACGACUUCUCCACUGUCUCAACCGCGAACUCGGCGAAAUUGCAUUACGAGUAAAGAUGCUCGUUACGCGCAGCAGGACGGAAAGACCCCGGGACCUUUACUAUAGUUUGGUAUUGGUGUUCGGAACGGCUUGUGUAGGAUAGGUGGGAGACUGAGAAGCUGGCACGCUAGUGUUGGUGGAGUCGUUGGUGAAAUACCACUCUGGUCGUUUUGGAUUCCUCACUUCGAACCAUGAUCUGGUUCAGGGACAGUGCCUGAUGGGUAGUUUAACUGGGGCGGUUGCCUCCUAAAGAGUAACGGAGGCGCUCAAAGGUUCCCUCAGCCUGGUUGGCAAUCAGGUGUUGAGUGUAAGUGCACAAGGGAGCUUGACUGCGAGACAGACAUGUCGGGCAGGAGCGAAAGCUGGAACUAGUGACCCGGCACCUCAUUGUGGAAUGGGUGUCGCUCAACGGAUAAAAGGUACCCCGGGGAUAACAGGCUGAUCUUGCCCAAGAGCUCAUAUCGACGGCAUGGUUUGGCACCUCGAUGUCGGCUCGUCGCAUCCUGGGGCUGGAGUUGGUCCCAAGGGUUAGGCUGUUCGCCUAUUAAAGCGGUACGCGAGCUGGGUUUAGAACGUCGUGAGACAGUUCGGUCCCUAUCCGCUGCGCGCGUUGGAUAUUUGAGAAGGCCUGUCCCUAGUACGAGAGGACCGGGAUGGACUAACCUCUGGUGUGCCAGUUGUUCUGCCAAGGGCAUGGCUGGUUGGCUACGUUGGGAAGGGAUAACCGCUGAAAGCAUCUAAGCGGGAAGCCUGCUUCGAGAUGAGAUAUCCGUACAUUUUUUGUGUGGGAGGUCCCCUGUAGAUGACGGGGUUGAUAGGCCAGAUGUGGAAGCGCGGUAACGUGUGGAGCUGACUGGUACUAAUUGGCC
rfam:Dermabacter sp. HFH0086 genomic scaffold acArI-supercont-complete, whole genome shotgun sequence.